UACAGAGGGUGCAAGCGUUGUUCGGAAUUAUUGGGCGUAAAGGGCGCGUAGGCGGUGCGGUAAGUCUGCAGUGAAAUCUCUGGGCUCAACUCAGAGUCUGCUGUGGAAACUGCCGUGCUUGAGUGUGGGAGAGGUGAGUGGAAUUCCCGGUGUAGCGGUGAAAUGCGUAGAUAUCGGGAAGAACACCCGUGGCGAAGGCGGCUCUCUGGGACGGUACUGACGCUGAGACGCGAAAGCGUGGGGAGCGAACAGG
rnacentral:rRNA from 1 species